rnacentral:rRNA from 1 species
UAUUAUAUUUAAUGUUAAUAUAUUGCCUGGGUAGUAUUAGAUGAGGUCUUGAAACUUAAAGAAUUUGGCGGUGUUUUAGUCCUUUCAGAGGAAUCUGUUCUGUAAUUGAUAAUACACGAUUUGUUUUACUUGAUUUUGUUAUCAGUUUGUAUAUCGCCGUCAUAAGAUUAUUUUUGUUGAGAAUUUAAUUUUCUUGGUCUUUUAUUAGAUAAUAUGUCAGGUCAAGGUGCAAUUUAUGAUUAAGAAGAAAUGGAUUACAAUAAUUUUAAUUAUUAUGGAUAAUUAUUUUAGGUUGAUUUGAAAGUGGAUUUGAUUGUAAUUUUAUUUUUAAUUAUUAUGUUGAUUGGGGCUCUAUAAUGUGUACAUAUCGCCCGUCGCUCUCGUUAUUAAAAUGAG